AGAUUGAACGCUGGCGGCAUGCCUUACACAUGCAAGUCGAACGGCAGCACGGGAGCAAUCCUGGUGGCGAGUGGCGAACGGGUGAGUAAUAUAUCGGAACGUGCCCAGUCGUGGGGGAUAACGCAGCGAAAGCUGUGCUAAUACCGCAUACGAUCUCUGGAUGAAAGCGGGGGACUCGCAAGAGCCUCGCGCGAUUGGACGCGGCCGAUAUCAGAUUAGCUAGUUGGGUAGGGUAAAAGCUACACCAAGGCGACGAUCUGUAGCUGGUCUGGAGAGGACGACCAGCCACACUGGAACUGAGACACCGGUCAGACUCCGUACGGGAGCAGCGAGGUAGGGGUAAUUUUGGGAACUAAGUCGGG
rnacentral:rRNA from 1 species